rnacentral:piRNA from 1 species
AUGACUGAUUACCUGAGAAAUAAUUGAUGA